UGGGGAAUAUUGCACAAUGGGCGCAAGCCUGAUGCAGCCAUGCCGCGUGUGUGAAGAAGGCCUUCGGGUUGUAAAGCACUUUCAGCGGGGAGGAAGGCGGUGAGGCUAAUAACCCCACCGACUGACGUUACCCGCAGAAGAAGCACCGGCUAACUCCGUGCCAGCAGCCGCGGUAAUACGGAGGGUGCAAGCGUUUAUCGGAAUUACUGGGCGUAAAGUGCACGCAGGCGGUCUGUCAAGUCGGAUGUGAAAUCCCCGGGCUCAACCUGGGAACUGCAUUCGAAACUGGCAGGCUAGAGUCUUGUAGAGGGGGGUAGAAUUCCAGGUGUAGCGGUGAGAUGCGUAGAGAUCUGGAGGAAUACCGGUGGCGAAGGCGGCCCCCUGGACAAAGACUGACACUCAGGUGCGAAAGAGUGGGGAGCAAACAGG
rnacentral:rRNA from 1 species